UUUCCGUAGGUGGACCCGCGGAAGGAUCAUUAAAGUUAUAGUCCCCCGGCCCCUCCGGGCUGGGGUCUUCUAUACCACCCUUUGUUUAUUACACCUUUGUUGCUUUGGCAGGCCUGCCCUCGGGCUGCUGGCUCCGGCCGGCUCGUGCCUGCCAGAGGACCUAAACUCUGUUUGUAUAUGAAGUCUGAGUACUAUAUAAUAGUUAAAACUUUCAACAACGGAUCUCUUGGUUCUGGCAUCGAUGAAGAAGCAGC
rnacentral:misc_RNA from 1 species